rnacentral:rRNA from 1 species
UAAUACGAGGGGAGCUAGCGUUGUUCGGAAUUACUGGGCGUAAAGGGCGUGUAGGCGGUACCAUAAGUCAGAUGUGAAAGCCCUAGGCUUAACCUAGGAGGUGCAUUUGAUACUGUGGAACUAGAGAUCGAGAGAGGUAAGUGGAAUUACGAGUGUAGAGGUGAAAUUCGUAGAUAUUCGUAAGAACACCAGUGGCGAAGGCGACUUACUGGCUCGAUACUGACGCUAAGGCGCGAAAGCGUGGGGAGCAAACAGGAUUAGAUACCCUGGUAGUCCACGCUGUAAACGAUGAGUGCUAGAUGUUGGUGAAGGAAUUCAUCAGUGUCGCAGCUAACGCAUUAAGCACUCCGCCUGGGGAGUACGGUCGCAAGAUUA